GCACUACGGUGCUGAAGUAACAAAUGCCCUGCUUCCAGGAAAAGCCUCUAAGCAUCAGGUAACAUCAAAUCGUACCCCAAACCGACACAGGUGGUCAGGUAGAGAAUACCAAGGCGCUUGAGAGAACUCGGGUGAAGGAACUAGGCAAAAUGGUGCCGUAACUUCGGGAGAAGGCACGCUGGUGUGUAGGUGAAGCCCCUGCGGGUGGAGCUGAGACCAGUCGAAGAUACCAGCUGGCUGCAACUGUUUAUUAAAAACACAGCACUGUGCAAACACGAAAGUGGACGUAUACGGUGUGACGCCUGCCCGGUGCCGGAAGGUUAAUUGAUGGGGUUAUCCGUAAGGAGAAGCUCUUGAUC
rnacentral:rRNA from 1 species